UAUCUAAAGAAACAGCAAAGACCAAAAAUAAAAUGGCCCGUGAAAGUAUGGAUACAUUUUCCUGGGAUUAGAUAAGGCAGUUGAGAAAAUUGCCUUGUUUUAAUAAUUCAGGUUAAAAAUGAAUGUGUCUAGACUGCUUCCACACCACUCCAAUUAAAGUGGAGAUGUGCUCAUUGUCCCAAUAUUAGAUGUAGACAACUUGAGAAGAGAGUUCAAGAGCCAAAGUGAGACCAGAAUAAUAGACCAUCUCAUCACCAGAUAGGGCUCCCCUAACUGUGCAUAUGAUAAUGAUAUUGUAAAAGAGGAAUCGAUCGCAUUGUAUUUUCUCUUUGCACGAGUUUUACCUCAACUUAUCCUUUUCAUCACUGACAUCUACCGCUUUACCUCAUUAUUUCUCAGUAACCCUCUAAGAAGCUCCUACUUUGCCUGGAUAUGGAAAACUUCUGCUGUGCCUUAAGUACAUCUCUGUGAGCCUGCCUCCUCACCCUGCACCUAGAGAGAUGAAAGAUUAUGAAACAGUGAGGGUUCCUCUCUCCAGAAGAAGAAAUCAGAACAAUCUCAUAUCAGAAAAUGGACCAGAAUCAGCAGAAAAACAGCCUGAUGGUUAACCAUGCUUUGUGGUCUGUGACUCAACUGAACUAUCUGAACUUAACUUUAAUGAUCUCAAAGGUCAACACAGCUUCUGACAACCACAGUCUGAGGUUCAGCAAUUGGCCAGCACCAAGCUUCUCUACAACCAGCCAAUCCAGAACUGACAAGUCAAUAAUGCGUUUGAGUCAACCAAUCUCUUUUCCUUGUGGAGUCUUCAGGCCUUGAAAGUCAUACACUUACUUUGGUGGAGGAGAUGGUAUUCUGGGAGACUAUUUUCCUGUGGAUAUACCCAUUUACAAGUGGCCUUCAGACACUUCUUCCACAAGGAAAUUGGGCAGCUUCCUGAAAUGAACAACCCGUAAAGCCAUGGGAAUUAUGGAUCAGCUCCCAGACCUUCCGCUUCAUGACUGCAAGCCUUUGUGAAAGUUUCUGACCUCUUUAUGCUUCAGGAAUCUUAGCAAUGAAACAAGGAUAAUGGCACUUGCUGUGACGAUCAUGCUUCCAACAGUUCAAAAAGCCAAGGGAAGAUCAGAAGCUUAUCUUCCAGCCAACUGGGGUGGGUUGGUGGGGGUUGGUGGAAUUUGACAGAAGCUUGUAAUCAGCCACAUUGGAGGAUGAGGGGAAGGCCUGUCAUCUGUUUUGAAACGUGUUACGACAAGAUGUUACAUUUCUGGAAACCUGGGUGCAGAAAAAGAUGCACUUUUCUGAGAGUUUGUGCGGAUUGAGUGAAUCUGCUUCAUUUCAGCCCGAAGUUGCUGGAGGGUCCUUCGUCAGGAGACAGUAUAUAUAGACUUGCCAGAAGUGCAAUAAUUAUUCAGUCUCUUUCUCAGUAUUAAGCC
rnacentral:lncRNA from 1 species